rnacentral:rRNA from 1 species
AGUGAACGCUGGCGGUAGGCCUAACACAUGCAAGUCGAACGGCAGCACAGUAAGAGCUUGCUCUUACGGGUGGCGAGUGGCGGACGGGUGAGGAAUACAUCGGAAUCUACUUUUUCGUGGGGGAUCACGUAGGGAAACUUACGCCAAUACCGCAUACGACCUACGGGUGAAAGCAGGGGAUCUUCGGACCUUGCGCGAUUGAAUGAGCCGAUGUGGGAUUAGCUAGUUGGCGGGGUAAAGGCCCACCAAGGCGACGAUCCGUAGCUGGUCUGAGAGGAUGAUCAGCCACACGGGAAGUGGGACACGGUCCAGACUCCUACGAGAGGCAGCAGAGGGGAAUAUUGGACAAUGGGCGCAAGCCUGAUCCAGCCAUACCGCGUGGGUGAAGAAGGCCUUCGGGUUGUAAAGCCCUUUUGUUGGGAAAGAAAAGCAGCAGGUUAAUACCCCGCUGUUCUGACGGUACCCAAAGAAUAAGCACCGGCUAACUUCGUG